rnacentral:lncRNA from 1 species
CUGGAGGUCUUCCUCCCUGUAAGGGUGAUGUGUGAGUGGGUAUCUGGCUCAGAAUAUUAAUGUUUGAAGUGUCAUAUCCAUAUUUUAGUUCCUGGAAGGAACUAAUUUAAUUAAUUUAUAAUUAUUAUUUUAUUCCAAGUUCCAAUACUGCCCUUGUGUCUGAGCAACAAAGGAUGACUCAUGCAGAUAAUCCUGGGGAAGCUUUGAUUGUGGCUAGCAAAGCAAUCUUGGAACUGAAAUUCCUCAGUAUCCUUGCUUUGAUUCCUUGAAGAGAAUUGACACAGACUCCAGGUUUUGGUGAAGCAAAGAAUUCCUGCUUCCUUGACUCUGUUUUUGUCUCGCCAGAACACAAAGAGGCAUUGAAUUUCACUAUUAAGGCCUUAAUUAGUAACCUUGUUUGUGAAAUUGAAACAAAGGUCUCACUGAACAGGCUGGUGCUCUGGCAAUGGCUGUUCCAUGCUCUCCAAAGACCCAGAAUCAAGGCUUGCAAUGAAAUCACUUUUCCUCAUGACUAAACUAAAUCUCUCUUGCAUGUUAAAAGUUAGUCUUUAAAACGCUGCGCAGUCAGAACAUUGCUUUGUCUUACACAUUUCCCUGUUACCUGGCAGGCCCCAAAUGUUACAUAAGCAUUCUCUGCAGCUGUAACCCCUACUCAGAAGAGGCUUGAUUUGUUAUUUGCACACAUGAUAACAUGUGGCAUAAGUAAAGCUGGGAAGAUGUUUGUUUGUAAGGGGUAAUCUGUGUCUAUCAAAGCAGAUAGUAUUGGUUUUGCCUAGUUUCCAAACAUGGUUUUAUAAGUCAGUAUAUCUUGUGAAACCAUUAGGACAAAAGUUUGGAACAAAAAGAAAUCUCAGGCUCAUUGCAAAGCUUUUUUAACGUUUUCAGUUCCCUCCAUGUUCUGAGCAUUAUCAUAACGUACUGAACUGUUCUGUUCAGAGACCACUAGGGAGAGGAGAUGAGGAACCAGAGCAGCCAGGAUGUUUCUCCCUGGGAUAAAAUCUCAAGCAUUCAGACACCCUCACUGUGGGCUCCACUUCUGUAGCUAGAGGGGACUGGAAACAGCAGGAGCAUCUCACAGCUUGUAGGAAGCACACAUCUUUUUCCCAAAUGUUUCUUUUUGCAGUUGGUCCUUGCUGGCUGAUCCAGCUUCCCCGUCAGCAUAUGGUGAGCAGUUCGGUGAGAGGACCACACUUCCAAUACUGGCAGAUGAAGCCAGAUACUCCUCUAUGAAGUUAAAUGACUGGUUCAGUGUUAACACUGCUAGUGAGCGACAGAGAUGGAAUUUGAACGCACACCUGUCUGACUCCACCUCGUGUUCCUUCCACAUGGCCAGCAAGCUCUGCUGUCCCACCUCGCACUUCUGGGAGGUGGCUACUCCCUCUUUCCACCCCCUUUUCUGGAUCUUGACAAGGGAUUCUACCCUGCCCCAGCUGUCAAAGCCUGCAGCAGCUGCCAAAAAACCUCAACACAGGCAUACUUUGGACCUACAUCAUGUGUUGAUGUCACAGAUGCUGUACCAGGCAUUUGACUCCUUGAUCUAAAGCCAGGAUUCCUAGCCAACAUGGCGAAACCCUGUCUCUACU